rnacentral:rRNA from 1 species
CUACGGGGGGCUGCAGUGAGGAAUAUUGCACAAUGGGGGGAACCCUGAUGCAGCAACGCCGCGUGGAGGAUGACGCAUUUCGGUGUGUAAACUCCUUUUAUAUGUCAAGAAAAUGACGGUAGCAUAUGAAUAAGCACCGGCUAACUCCGUGCCAGCAGCCGCGGUAAUACGGAGGGUGCAAGCGUUACUCGGAAUCACUGGGCGUAAAGGACGCGUAGGCGGGUUGGAAAGUCAGGUGUGAAAUCCUACAGCUUAACUGUAGAACUGCACUUGAAACUUCUAAUCUAGAGUAUGGGAGGGGGAGAUGGAAUUAGUGGUGUAGGGGUAAAAUCCGUAGAUAUCACCAGGAAUACCUAAAGCGAAGGCGAUCUCCUGGAACAUUACUGACGCUAAGGCGUGAAAGCGUGGGGGGCAAACAGGAUUAGAUACCCUGGUAGUC